ACCUGACUGCUAUCGGAUUGGUACUAAGCCAUGUGAGUCAUUGUAGCAAUACAAGGCAUACGGCUCAGUAACACGUAGUCAAUCUGCCCUAUGGACGUGGAUAACCUCGGGAAACUGAGAAUAAUCCGCGAUAGAUCAUAAUGCCUGGAACGGUUUAUGGUCCAAAUGAUUCGUCGCCAUAGGAUGGGACUGCGGCCUAUCAGCUUGUUGGUGAGGUAAUGGCCCACCAAGGCUAUUACAGGUACGGGCUCUGAGAGGAGAAGCCCGGAGAUGGGUACUGAGACACGGACCCAGGCCCUAUGGGGCGCAGCAGGCGAGAAACCUUUGCAAUGUGCGCAAGCACGACAAGGUUAAUCCGAGUGUUUCCUGCUAAAGGAAUCUUUUGUUAGUUCUAAAACCACUGAUGAAUAAGGGGUGGGCAAGUUCUGGUGUCAGCCGCCGCGGUAAAGCCAGCACCUCAAGUGGUCAGGAGGAUUAUUGGGCCUAAAGCAUCCGUAGCCGGUUCUGUAAGUUUUCGGUUAAAUCCACUAGCUCAACUAAUGGGCUGCCGGAAAUACUGCAGAACUAGGGAGUGGGAGAGGUAGACGGUACUCGGGAGGAAGGGGUAAAAUCCUUUGAUCUCUUGAUGACCACCUGUGGCGAAGGCGGUCUACCAGAACACGUUCGACGGUGAGGGAUGAAAGCUGGGGGAGCAAACCGGAUUAGAUACCCGGGUAGUCCCAGCUGUAAACGAUGCAGACUCGGUGAUGCACUGGCUUUUGGCCAGUGCAGUGCCGCAGGGAAGCCGUUAAGUUUGCCGCCUGGGAAGUACGUACGCAAGUAUGAAACUUAAAGGAAUUGGCGGGGGAGCACCACAAGGGGUGAAGCCUGCGGUUCAAUUGGAGUCAACGCC
rnacentral:rRNA from 1 species